CGGGCUUAGGAUCGCGAACAGUUUGAAGGGGCACACUCAGACUGGACAGCCUAUAUAGAUAUCCCCUCCAGACGACGAGGAGACUCGACGAGUGAUCCAGGAGAAAGCCUCUCGUUCGAUUGGCCACCACGAACCGUUAUCUUCGACAAGCUUGCAACGAAAAAAUAUGUUCAAAAGAAAGAAAAAAAGAUGAAGAGAAGAAAAACGAAGAGAAAGAAACGUCUCGCGAGCUAAUUUUAAUGGACGUGUUUCCACGAUGGUGUGUACAGGAACGCCCUCAGAGGAUAAAUGAAAGAGAAGAAACGAUGGAUUACUGUGUUGGAUGUAAUUGAUCACGAAGACAAUGGAUUCCCUCUAUUUAUGACAAUAUCGUCGAUCUCGUCGGUUUGGGUAUCGACGGCGGGUGAAAGCAAGGCAGAAUAUACAUUCCUCCACGGUGUCCAGGCCUCUACUAGUGCUUUUUCCGUGUAAUUACUUUAAUAAUUCGUAUCGACUUCCAGUGGGAACUCCUUUCGCUGGACACGCAAGUUGGCUCGUUUCUUGGUCUCUAUAUUUGCUAGGUAUACACAACUAUCGAUUGAACGUGGAAUUUAGGACAACUUCGUUUACUUUUCCUUACGUAAUUAAUUUGUUUUUACGUGUUAUUAAUAUAUUCGAAAUCCAUCCGGAAAUAUUGUUUUAAUCUUAAUUAUAAGUUUAUUUUAGGAUAUUAUUUGUUGGAAGAUCGCAUUUAUAAUUACGUAGAUAAUUAUUGGAAUCUUAUGUGAUGAAACUUCCAUUUUCUUCGUUAUCUUGCCCGAAGGAGAAAAAGAAGAACACAAUUUGUCGCUACUCCGGGGAAACACUAAGGGAAGUAAUGAAAUUAUAGAGGAUUCUCGCCGGAUGGCAAACAUGACCGAGAAAUUCUCGAAAGACUUGGCUCGAUCAUUUUUAGAAGCAUUAUUGGUUCAGAGAUAUUGUUACAAGAAAAAAAAAUAACCCUGUUUAUUGUAAAUUUAAUUUAUUUGUUCAAUGUCGAGCAAUCGUUGCGAUUAUUCUAACCUCGAAAAAUAUUCUAACCUCAAAUUCCACGCAUUUCUAUCUCAAUUAAAAUCCGUUAAAUGUAACAAAGAGAGAGGCAUUCGCCUCUCGAAGAAUCUUAAGUUUAAUUUAAGUAAUAUCGAAGCGUGAAGUUAAAAAAAAAAAGAAACACAAGAAUGUUAAUCUCUUCGAUUCGAAUUGCAAAUUAUGUUAUUAUUUUGUAUCACACGCCAUUCCCAUCGAUGAAUUGUAUCGAUUAUAAUCGAUUCUCUCUGUAUGAAGAUUAUUCUCGCGUAUCGACUCGUUUUAAACUCGAUUAAAAUUAGAAUUAAUAACUGUCUUGAGCGAAGCGUAUUGCACAGGCUUUAUCGUUUUACCGCGAGCGGAAGCAACAGUUAAGAUUAAUUAUUCUUUAUGGCAGGCUCGUAAUCGUACGUCUUCUAAUAAAAAUAUUUAUUUAAUUCUACUUCUAUUAUUGUUUAAAGAAGAAGAGUGAUUUAAUUUUGUUUUCGCAUUUGAUUUAUCCAACCUCAAAGAAUUAUUAUUCCAUUGAUCUGUUAUCAUUAAAAUAUGUGCAAGAUGUGCUUUAAUUCUUUUAAAAGAACAAAAUUGAAAGAACAGAAUGAGUCACGGUGAAAGAUACUUUCUAAAACUGAUGCUUCUCACAUUUAAAAUUUUUACACAGUUUUUAACUCGCGUUAUUAUUUAUAUAUAAAAACAAAAUCUACCUUAGAUCCAUCUUAGAAUUUCUAUUCCAAAAAGAGAAAAACUGGAACAUCCUUUUUUUACAAUCCAACAAAAUAACCACGACUGUCUAUUAAUUAAAAAAAUAUAUAAAAUAUUAAAGAUAAACAAAUAUGCCUAUUCAUAUCAUCAUCAAUUUCCAUAAGUUAUUACAUUAGAAUAAUCAGAAAGAGAAAAAAAAAAAAGAAAAAAAAAGAUAUCGACCGAGCAAGAUUUAUCUACUGAAUUUUUCAAAACGCGUCCAAUUUCCGUCGCGCGAGCAACGUAGGCGUGCAUUUGUUAAAUCGUGAAAAAGAAGAGACGUUCCACUUUUGUUUUUUCCACUAUUUGAAACACGGUGUAACGGGGUUACCGCGAUCGUUGUUUCUUCCCUAUCGUAAGCGUGGAGGAUAGAACGUGGACGAGAUUAGAGAAGGAAUCGGGAAGAGAGGAGAUCGGUACACGCGUGCAAGGUGAGGACAACGUGGCGUGGAUGAGCAAUGAACUUGACCGGAAGUAGGUCAGGGUAAACAAACCUUCCUCGUGCUCAAUGAGCAUCUUCGCAGUAACCGUGAUCUUUCGAGUAUGACCGAUCUAACGAGUAAGCUCGUAAAAUUAACGAUUAAUUUAUUCUUAAUCUAUCGAGCGACUGUUACAUGUAUUUAUCUUUAAUAUUUUUUUUUUUCGAGAAUAAUACAUUUAUUUCUUCUCGUAUUCGAGCGACACGUAACAAAAAUUGAUCCACUUUCGAACGUACGAGACACCUUUCACGUAUUUAUUUACUAUCUUUCUCGCCGGCCAGCUCAAAAAUUACAGCGACACGACAACUUCUUGCACGCAACGAGAUCUCGUGUAAUGGAAAGUACACAAUAAUUUAUCUAUAAUAUAUCCCUUCGUCAUUUCGUUAUUAUAUUAUAUACAUCAUUAAUAAAUCGUUAUUAUAUUAUAUACAUCGUUAAUAAAUCAUUUGAAACACUCUAGGAGGAAGUUUCCGUUCCAAAGAUGUAUUGGACAGCUUGGUUAUAAUCGUUAUAGAAGAAACGAAUGUUGCCCGACGAUGAUCAGGUUUGUGAAUGCGCGAGGUGUUUUAUCGACGUGCGCGAAUCGUAAUAAAGAAAAGUCUCGCGAAAGAAAGAAAGACACACGCGUGAAGAAAGAAACUUUGGUGAGAAAGUUGAGUCGGGCGGGACCUCUGGCUACCUAUAAAGGUCGGUCGGUAUAACAAUGCUAAACUUUAAACUUCUCCUCUAAUGGAAUCGAUCCACUCUGUUACGUCUCCCCCCACUCCUGCCUCCUUCCCCUUCCCCUCCGCCUCCCGUAACCAGAGUUUACACGGCUAGAGUUCGGCUAACGAAAUUCGGUGCGAUGCGCAAUGAAAAAGUGGAUCACGUAACCGUGGAACCUUCUACUUGGAAUUUUAAUUCGCGUUACGUCACGCGCCCGUUCGAUUGAAAAACGGGGCAAUUAAAAACGGAAAUAGGGAGUGAGAUAUAAAUUAUGAAUCUUUUAAGCGAGAUUUUUACGUUCUUUUUUUCUUUUUGUAACAUUUCUACGCGACUUGAUUCUCAUCUCUUUUACGUAGAACGAAAGAAAACAGAAUCAUAAUUGUUUCGAGAGUUUGUUAGGAAGAGAGAAUCCAUUUUUAUUUUUUUUUUUUCUUUUGGGAUGUUGAUUUUUGAAUUGUCGUUCGUUCUCCGUCGCGUAGGCGAAGCGGUGGGUGUGGAAAAGUGGGUAUAGAAUUUUUGUUGGAUUAGCAUUCCAUUACACGCGUUUGCGGAAAGUUCGCGAAGAAUUCUGAGCAUCCAAGAUUUUAUGAUUUCCAUCGGUGGCCGAUUCGUGGCUUUCAUUAAACUUUUGCGCCUGAUAAAUUUCGAAUGUCGCGUGUCGAGUCGAUUUUUACGAACGAACGAACAGUUUCUUUGUUUCUUCUUACGUGUAUUGUACGAGUUUUUCGUAUUGUCGUUAAAAAUUAAUAAAAAUAUUUUGUGUGCAUAUGUGCGUGUUUUCGUCGCAUACAUGUGUUGCAUUAAAACAGAUUGCACUUAUUAUUCGAUAAAUAUUUUUCGUGAGAAAGGUCUUGAUCCAUAUAACUUGACAUUUCACGAUAUCCACAGAGAUUAAGAUUGUAUUUAAUGCCAAUUGUACAAUUCUUUUACUAUUUUUUUUACUGUCGUUUUAAUUUGUAAUUAAUUUAGAUUACGUCAAGAUUUUAUCAAAUGAAAAAGUAUAUAAUGAAAUAAAUCGGAUAUUAGAGCCAUCUCUUAGGCGCGCAAAUUUUGCAUCGCAAAUGUAGACAAGGAGAAUAAGUAGUGAGAAAAGGACAGAGAUAGACAAAAAUAUUGAAAUCAGCGCCAUCUUCAGAGUGCCGCAAAUGAAACUUGCAAAGAAAGGAUAGAAAAUGGUAAGAGAAGGAUGGAGAUAGGAUGAGAAUUAACUGCUAGCGCCAUCUCGAGAGAAGCAACGACCUCGUUAGAGAACAAGCUUUCUAGAAAUUCUCAGAGAUGGCGCUGAUGAUCAAUUCCUAUCGUAUAUCUGUCCUUCUCUUAUUAUUUUCUAUCCUUUCUUUGCGAGUUUCAUUUGCGGCACACUGAAGAUGGCGCUGAUUUCAAUAUUUUUACCCUAUCUCUAUCCUUUUUCCAUCAUUUGCUCUCCUUGUCUAUAUUUGAUUGCAUUAUAUAUUUAUAUUAUAAUAAAAAAUUUUUAAAAUUGGACAUAAAUAUGAUACGUAAUAAUAUAGAUUAAACGCGAAUAAUAGUAUGCAAUCAAGGAAAAUGAAACAUCGAAAGAUUACUGGAAAGUAAACAAUUUAGAAAAUUACGAUUACGAGGUCAGAUGUAAAGGGAGGCAGACCGAUUUGUCGCGAUGUGUUGUCCGGCUUAAAUUGUGAAAACUGGAUCGACCAGUUCCUAUGACUAGCGCUCAUAACUUUCCAUUGAUAACUAGCUGGAUGCUUCUUCGAUAAAAUCGCGAAGUUUAUCUCGACUUUGACUUUCACUGUUCGCGCAAGGUCUAGGACAUUCACUCGGGUGAAACAGAGUUCUUCUUACAUCAAGAAAGUACUCCCUGAAAAUUUCUCGACGUUAGAUGCAAUUUGUAAAUUCAUAUUAAUGUAUUCUUUUCCAAUAAAAAAAAACGGAAUAAAUAAAUCGUUUUGGAUAUUAAAAGCUUGCUUUAUUUUUAAUUUUAUGAAUAUAACGACUCUUAUCACCUUUUGUCAUAAGUACAUUUUGUCGGAACACCGAGAACGCAGACCAAGUUCCAGAAUUCGAUCUAAACAACAGUCAUAUACAUAUAUAUAUAUAUAUAUAUAUUUAUAUAUGUAUAUAUAUUUCUUUUUUUCUUUUUAAAUAUAUAUAUUGAUAAUUACGUUUAUAUUUUUUCUUAUUUUACUUUCUUUCCUUUUUUUUUUUUUUUUUUUUUCUUUUUUUUAAUCUUUUUGUACGAUCGAGAUCACCCGAUCUGGACUUGGUCCGGACCUUCUUUGCCUCAUACAUACAUGAUU